rnacentral:rRNA from 1 species
AUGGCGGCGGUCAAGAUCGCCGUCCUCCUGGCCGUGACGACGCUCUUCGCCCCGGCAGGGGCGGCGGACCCCCAACCCGCGCAGGUCGCAACGGAAGCCCAGUGCUGGCCGUGCUACUCCUCCUGCAUGCACACGUGCGACGACGGCCACGGUGUCACCCCCGCCCCCGAUGUCAACCGUUCUCAGCCAGCCGCCCACCCAGCCGUCGACAAUGGUGCAGCGGCCGCCUCCGUCCCUGUCAACUCUACUGACGGCGCCCCCAUUGCUGACGGCUAUGACGAUUACAAAGGUGGCAACAAAAGUGACGGCGAGGGUUACUACGAGAAAUACUUCGAGUGCAAGAAGAAGUGCAUCGUCGAUUGCUACAAGGACCUGCCGCCGGUGUGCUACAAGAUGUGCAUCUCCGAGACCUGCCUCACCCUGCCACCAUGUAAACGAGGGGAUUGCUACAAAGCAUGCGGGAACAAAUGCUUCCACAACCAGCCCUACCCCGGGCCAAACCCGGGUCCGAAGCCGACGCCACCACCGCCCACACCUCCGAAGCCCGUGCCACCGCCACCGAAAGCCGGUGCCGAAGGCGAAGCAAAAGACGCCGUGCCCGUAACCGGCUACUAG